rnacentral:misc_RNA from 1 species
GAAAUGCGAUAAGUAGUGUGAAUUGCAGAAUUCAGUGAAUCAUCGAAUCUUUGAACGCACAUUGCGCCCUUUGGUAUUCCAAAGGGCAUGCCUGUUCGAGCGUCAUUUGUACCCUCAAGCUUUGCUUGGUGUUGGGCGUCUUGUCUCUAGCUUUGCUGGAGACUCGCCUUAAAGUAAUUGGCAGCCGGCCUACUGGUUUCGGAGCGCAGCACAAGUCGCACUCUCUAUCAGCAAAGGUCUAGCAUCCAUUAAGCCUUUUUUUCAACUUUUGACCUCGGAUCAGGUAGGGAUACCCGCUGAACUGAAG